rnacentral:tRNA from 1 species
AGAAACUUAGUUAAAAUAUAACAUUAAUAUGUCAUAUUAAAAUUAUUAAACUAUUAAUAUUUUCUA